GUCUUGCAAAAAAUCCCUAGCAAAAUAUUUAAAGAUAAGGGAGACAGAAUUCUAUGCUUAAAAUAGAAAGCAUGCACAACUCUCUUUUACCUAAUAUUUUAUGUUUUUGGUAUUAUUGUUGGUGUGACAGUUCACUCAAAGUAAAGGUGGGUCAAUUUGGACAUAUGCUACCCAUUUUAGGUCUAAAUACAAAUCAAUCUCGAUAUGAAUUCUGAAAACCAGCUAAAACCAGCCCAAGCUGGUUGACUGGUUUUAAGCUGGUCUCUCAGCCUGGUAUUAGCUGUUCAGGAUUGUUUAGCAGGAUGUGUUUUUUUUUUGGCCACUUUAUAGCUGGUUAGGCUAGAAAACCAGCUGACCCACCAGCUUAAACCAGCUUGGCUAAGCUGGUUGGCUGGUCUAAGCUGGUUCCAGAUGGUCCUCCCACCCUGACCAGCUAAGACCAGCUACAAAGUGAACAUACACACCUUAGAACAGGGGUCUCCAACCUUUUUAUGAGCAAGGGCUACCACAAUGGAUAAAACAAUCUGGAGGGCUACUUUUUGAUAUAGUCUACUUAAAACUUUUUUGUUUUACUUGUUUAUUUUAUUUUAUUUGACUUGUUUAUAUGUUUUAGUAUUGUUUAAAAUUUUAACAUACGUAAACCAAGCCAAGCUAAUAUAAAAAAAUAUGUAAUGAAUAAAUAUUACAGUUGAGACUAUUAAUAGAAUGUGCUUUGGCGGGCACCUCACAGACUCUGUGCGGGCUACCUGGUGCCCGCGGGCACCACGUUGGUGACCCCUGCCUUAGAGAGAGCAUAGGUCACACAGAGUACAAAAAUAUUUUACUAUUACGUAAAAUAAUGUAAGUUGUCUUAUAUAUUGAUCUUUGAUAUUAUUGUAGGUUUUGUUGUGGGUUCAGGGCAUCUUGAAGUACACUAUGAAUGACGUCAGAUAGAUCUAUUGCGAGUGACAACAUUUGAAUUAUCUGGCACGAGGAGUCACACGUCAUACUUCAACUGACACAACGGAGACGGUGGUAAAAGAGGGAAAAACUCCUUUAAAUUUCGAAUUUUUUUAUACUAAAUCCCAUUUAUUUUGUAGUUAAUUGUUGGAUAAGGUCGUAAUUUCGUCAAGUUUUCGUUACAGGGUAAGAUUUCUUUACCAUAUACAGUAUUUAUAUUGGUUCAAGUGUGCAGUUUGAUAAGGUUUGUAUUUCCUUUGUAUAGGAAAUUUGUUAGCCAUAUUUAAGUUAGUACAUUUUGGUAUCGUAUGUAAGCUUCGCUUUAGUUCAAUGUUAGAGUAAAUGUAUAAGGUUUUAUAUUAAUAUUCAUCCGCAGCGGGUAAGUGCGCGAGCUCAUACGGCCGUUACUCAAGCGGAAGGCUGCAGCCUCUGGAGGUCGCGUGUCUUAUUUCAGAAUAUUAACAAGUAUAAAGUUGACUAUUAUUCUUAGUUAAUCGUAAAUUGUUGUAAUAUGCUUAUGACUUGCGAAUGUAAUGCUCAGUUAACUUAAUAAACCAGGCUUGGUGACGUAUACAGCCUGCCUAUGCGACCUCCGGAGGAUGCAGCCUUCCGUUUGAGAAACGGCCUACAUGUGUACCGAGGGCGAGCGUGCACGAAAUUCUGUCUGAAUUGAUUCUUCAAUAAUGGCAAAGCAAACAUUUUCUGUCGUGAUGAUUAAACACAUUUUAAAGUUUAAAUUAAAACUCCUACCUUUCCAGGGGUUUCUGUUCCUGCAGUCUUCCAGCGACACUUCAGUCGUGUGUGUACUUGCUUGCCGCGUAUGACCAUACGGACACGAACAAUAUACCGCCACCUACUGUACUGUAGUAAAAUGACGUGUAUGAUUGAAUACGGUGGCACAGGCAGUAAAAAUAGCCCUGUAAGUCAUUGUAAAAAUUGGCUAAAUCACCAAAAUAAGUUUGUAGAUGUGGUUCAUUAAUUUUUCAUAACUAUGCAGCAUAAUGAAUCAGCCUGAAUUUAUUUAGCCUAUAAAAAUAUAUUUUUUAACUUUAUUUUUAAACCUUUAUAUGCUUUUAUAUGGUAUAUGGUUAAACCCUUAUAUGGUAGCAUACAGUUUAAUUGAAUAAAAAUCUUAAAUUGAAUCAAAUCUCUUGUAAUAAUAAAAAAGCUCUUAAUUAUCUGCGAGGAUUGGGGGUACAUCUGGGUAACAUUUUAACAUUUAAGCAGCUUCCUUUUUAUAUUAUUUUACAUAAUUUGAUGUGUAUAUAUAUUAACUUAUCUUUAUUUAGUUUUCUCAGCCUUUAAACAUCUGACUGAUAAAUGUGUAGUGUACUACAAAAAGGUAAGUUCAGCACCAGAUCCGCUUAUGUUAUACUGUAAUGACCUCUGUGUAUGACAUGUGCUAUACAAAUAAACUUGCCUUGCCUUGUAAGAUUGAUACUGGUUUGAGAAAAACUAAGAUUUAUACAACCAAAUGUUUCCAGUGCAACAUGAAAAAACAUUGGAAAACAAUUUUCAGCCUAAGGUUAGAUAAUGUAGCCAAUGGUCCUCUAUUAAUUUUGGUACAAUGGUACAUUUCCUUUGUGUACUGCAAGCUGAACUUACCGAUUUAUAUGGACUUUACUUACAGGUUUUCUGUGCUAUGUUGCUCCAUUUCACGGAGCAAAAUAAGUCUGAGGUAGCACCAUCCUUGUGGUUUGAGUUGAACAAUGGGGGUAUUGAGACCAAAAUGAACAAUGUGCCACUCUAGACAGCUGUGGACAAAAUAUGCAUUCAGAGUAUUUUCUCAAACAGAGAGAGAAUUCCAGGCCAAAAGGACUCAACAGAGACAACAUUCUGAGGAGCCAGGUAAAACUAAAAGUUCCAUGUCCUUCACAAUCACAACUGCAGCACACCAGUCAAUUUCUGCCAUUCAGACGAAUCAGAAAGAAAUCUUGGAUUGGAAAAUCAUUCUGAAAGUAGACUAAAUUCAGGACAACAUCACAGCAGUGGUCGGAAAAACAUCAGUCAAUGAGCAAGCCAAGCUAACUUUCAAAAGAUGAUUUGUUAUCUGUCUUCAGAGGGAAGGCAGCUUGGAGGAUGCUACAGCUACACAGGGAGAAUUUCAGCAGCUCAGUUUCAUACUUGCAACUAAUAAUGAAUAAUAGUUAGAAGACAGCGGAAAGAAUUGACAUCGCAGAGACACACACAAAGAGACACGAACACACACGCAGCUGAAGCGAGUUUGACUGACGCGCACGGGAGAUCAGGCACCGUGCACGCACACACAAACAUGGAGCACAGCAUAAUUACAACAGUUGGAUUAAAAUAAAAGUACUUUGUGGUAUACAA